rnacentral:rRNA from 1 species
GACAGUUCGGUCCCUAUCCGCUGUGCGCGUAGGAAUAUUGAGAAGGGCUGUCCCUAGUACGAGAGGACCGGGACGGACGAACCUCUGGUGUGCCAGUUGUUCUGCCAAGGGCAUGGCUGGUUGGCUACGUUCGGGAGGGAUAACCGCUGAAAGCAUCUAAGCGGGAAGCCUGCUUCGAGAUGAGUGUUCCCACCUCCUUGAGAGGGUAAGGCUCCCAGUAGACGACUGGGUUGAUAGGCCGGAUAUGGAAGCCCUGUAAGGGGUGGAGUUGACCGGUACUAAUAGGCCGAGGGCUUGUCCUCAGUUG